rnacentral:rRNA from 1 species
AACGAACGCUGGCGGCAGGCUUAACACAUGCAAGUCGAGCGCCCCGCAAGGGGAGCGGCAGACGGGUGAGUAACGCGUGGGAAUCUACCCAUCUCUACGGAAUAACGCAUGGAAACGUGUGCUAAUACCGUAUACGUCCUUCGGGAGAAAGAUUUAUCGGAGAUGGAUGAGCCCGCGUUGGAUUAGCUAGUUGGUGGGGUAAAGGCCUACCAAGGCGACGAUCCAUAGCUGGUCUGAGAGGAUGAUCAGCCACACUGGGACUGAGACACGGCCCAGACUCCUGCGGGAGGCAGCAGUGGGGAAUAUUGGACAAUGGGCGCAAGCCUGAUCCAGCCAUGCCGCGUGAGUGAUGAUGGCCCUAGGGUUGUAAAGCUCUUUCACCGGUGAAGAUAAUGACGGUAACCGGAGAAGAAGCCCCGGCUAACUUCGUGCCAGCCGCCGCCGUAAGAC